rnacentral:rRNA from 1 species
UCCACGCUGUAAACGAUGGAUACUAGACGUUGGUAUCAUUAAAGAUAUCAGUGUCGCAGUUAACGCGAUAAGUAUCCCGCCUGGGGAGUACGGCCGCAAGGUUAAAACUCAAAGGAAUUGACGGGGGCCCGCACAAGCGGUGGAGCAUGUGGUUUAAUUCGAUGCAACGCGAAGAACCUUACCCGGACUUGACAUCCUUUUGCAAUUUUAUAGAGAUAUAGAACCUCUCUUCG